AUGGAAACUCUUCCCGCAUUG
rnacentral:snRNA from 1 species